CCUUAAUCCCUGCACCAGACAUGCAUCACUGAGUCAGUGAAACCUUCAGUGGCACUUGUUUGUUGCAAUGGUCAAGGAA
rnacentral:pre_miRNA from 1 species